rnacentral:lncRNA from 1 species
GAUAAAAUAUUUUAGUCUAUUUUGGAUCAUAUUUGCGUUUACUUUAGAAUAAAAUUUACUUUCAUUUAAAACAGAGAUCCAUUUGUAAGCUUAAAAUCAUCUUAUAAGACCAAACAGUGAUCUAAUCUUUCUAAUUUAUAUUUUUCAAUGUGUAUAUUAGUCUUAAGUGAUAUUAAUAGAUGUAUAAUUAAAAAGGAAAAAGGAUUAAGCUUUUAAAAAUAAAAGAAAUCAAAUCAAUGCGUUUUACAAACACACAAAUAUUUGAUUUAUUUUAAGGAGCUUAAAGGGAUUUCUAACCGACACCGACCCAACUAAUGAAUGUAUGAGAGAAAUGGCUUUAGUGGUGGUAAUAUUAAUUAAUAAUUGAAAAGCAGUGUCAGAGUGAAGACAAAGAGCGCAGUGGAAAAUCAGCAGUUAAAGAUCCGACAGCCAAUAAAAGAUUGACACGCAGCAGAAGAGAAACGACUGCACAGAAGAAGCACUCUUUCUGAGUCCGUCCACAAAAUACCGCCACGUCAAUAUGAAUCUGGAUCGCAUGCGGAUUGUUUGCCGCAAUCAUGUUUUUGCAUCAGCCAAAAUUUGACUUGACCAUGGUUUUUGAUUAUAUAUAAUCAAAACUAUAUUUUAAAAAUUCGAGAUUAUCUUUUAAAGAAAUAAAUAAACUAUAUUUUAGAUGCGUUGCCA